rnacentral:rRNA from 1 species
CCUGCAGGAAAGGACAUCAACCGAGACUCCGCAAGUAGUGGCGAGCGAACGCGGACCAGGCCAGUGGCAAUGAGGAAUAAAGUGGAACGAUCUGGAAAGGUCGGCCGUAGAGGGUGAUAGCCCCUUACACGUAGAACACUCAUUGUCCUUGAGUAAGGCGGGACACGUGAAAUCCUGUCUGAACAUGGGGAGACCACUCUCCAAGCCUAAGUACUCGUGCAUGACCGAUAGCGAACAAGUACCGUGAGGGAAAGGUGAAAAGCACCCCGACAAGGGGAGUGAAAUAGAACCUGAAACCGGAUGCCUACAAACAGUUGGAGCCCGCAAGGGUGACAGCGUACCUUUUGUAUAAUGGGUCAACGACUUAGUGUGACGAGCAAGCUUAAGCCGAUAGGUGAAGGCGCAGCGAAAGCGAGUCUGAACAGGGCGUUCAGUUCGUCGCAUUAGACCCGAAACCGAGUGAUCUAGCCAUGAGCAGGUUGAAGGUUGGGUAACACCAACUGGAGGACCGAACCCGCAUCUGUUGCAAUAGAUUGGGAUGACUUGUGGCUAGGGGUGAAAGGCCAAUCAAACUCGGAAAUAGCUGGUUCUCCGCGAAAUCUAUUUAGGUAGAGCGUCGACCGAAUACCCUCGGGGGUAGAGCACUGGAUGGGCUAUGGGGACUCACCGUCUUACUGAUCCUAACCAAACUCCGAAUACCGAGGAGUACUAGUCGGCAGACACACGGCGGGUGCUAACGUCCGUCGUGAAAAGGGCAACAACCCUGACCUCCAGCUAAGGUCCCCAAGUCAUGGCUAAGUGGGAAAGGAUGUGAGGAUCCCAAAACAACCAGGAUGUUGGCUUAGAAGCAGCCAUCAUUUAAAGAAAGCGUAACAGCUCACUGGUCUAAAUAAGGGUCUUUGCGCCGAAAAUGUAACGGGGCUAAAGCCAUGCACCGAAGCUGAGGAUGUGCCUUAUGGCACGUGGUAGCGGAGCGUUCCGUAAGCCUGCGAAGGGAUACCCGUGAGGGGUCCUGGAGGUAUCGGAAGUGCGAAUGUUGACAUGAGUAACGAUAAAGAGGGUGAGAGACCCUCUCGCCGAAAGACCAAGGGUUCCUGCUUAAAGUUAAUCUGAGCAGGGUUAGCCGGCCCCUAAGACGAGGCGGACACGCGUAGUCGAUGGGAACCACGUUAAUAUUCGUGGGCCUGGUGGUAGUGACGGAUCGCUUAACUUGUUUGGACUUAUUGGAUUGUCCAGGCGGGGACGCGGUUCCAGGAAAUAGCUCCACCAUUAUAGACCGUACCCGAAACCGACACAGGUGGUCAGGUAGAGUAUACCAAGGCGCUUGAGAGAACUAUGCUGAAGGAACUCGGCAAAUUGCACGCGUAACUUCGGAAGAAGCGUGACCCCAAUGGACGCAAGUCUUUUGGGGUGGCACAGACCAGGGGGUAGCGACUGUUUAUCAAAAACACAGGGCUCUGCGAAGUCGCAAGACGACGUAUAGGGUCUGACGCCUGCCCGGUGCUGGAAGGUUAAGAGGAGGGGUGCAAGCUCUGAAUCGAAGCCCCAGUAAACGGCGGCCGUAACUAUAACGGUCCUAAGGUAGCGAAAUUCCUUGUCGGGUAAGUUCCGACCUGCACGAAUGGCGUAACGACUUCCCCGCUGUCUCCAGCAUAGACUCAGUGAAAUUGAAUUCCCCGUGAAGAUGCGGGGUUCCUGCGGUCAGACGGAAAGACCCCGUGCACCUUUACUAUAGCUUUACACUGGCAUUCGUGUCGGCAUGUGUAGGAUAGGUGGUAGGCUUUGAAGCAGGGACGCCAGUUCUUGUGGAGCCAUCCUUGAAAUACCACCCUUAUCGUCAUGGAUGUCUAACCGCGGUCCGUCAUCCGGAUCCGGGACAGUGUAU